rnacentral:rRNA from 1 species
UAAUACGGAGGGUGCAAGCGUUAAUCGGAAUUACUGGGCGUAAAGCGCACGCAGGCGGUUUGUUAAGUCAGAUGUGAAAUCCCCGAGCUUAACUUGGGAACUGCAUUUGAAACUGGCAAGCUAGAGUCUUGUAGAGGGGGGUAGAAUUCCAGGUGUAGCGGUGAAAUGCGUAGAGAUCUGGAGGAAUACCGGUGGCGAAGGCGGCCCCCUGGACAAAGACUGACGCUCAGGUGCGAAAGCGUGGGGAGCAAACAGGAUUAGAUACCCUGGUAGUCAACGCUGUAAACGAUGUCGACUUGGAGGUUGUGCCCUUGAGGCGUGGCUUCCGGAGCUAACGCGUUAAGUCGACCGCCUGGGGAGUACGGCCGCAAGGUUAAA